UACGUAGGGUGCGAGCGUUGUCCGGAAUUAUUGGGCGUAAAGAGCUCGUAGGCGGCCUGUCGCGUCGGUUGUGAAAGCCCGGGGCUUAACCCCCGGGUCUGCAGUCGAUACGGGCAGGCUAGAGUUCGGUAGGGGAGAUCGGAAUUCCUGGUGUAGCGGUGAAAUGCGCAGAUAUCAGGAGGAACACCGGUGGCGAAGGCGGGUCUCUGGGACGGUACUGACGCUGAGACGCGAAAGCGUGGGGAGCGAACAGG
rnacentral:rRNA from 1 species